CACAUGUGGGGCAAGCGUUGUUCGGAAUUACUGGGCAUAAAGGGUGCGUAGGUGGCUUGUUAAGUCAGGGGUGAAAGUUUUCGGCCCAACCGGAGAAUGGCCUUUGAUACUGGCGAGCUCGAGUGCGUGAGGGGUAACCGGAACGAGCAGUGUAGCGGUGAAAUGCGUAGAUAUUGCUCGGAAGGCCAACGGCGAAGGCAGGUUACUGGUGCGCAACUGACACUGAGGCACGAAAGCGUGGGGAGCAAACAGG
rnacentral:rRNA from 1 species